rnacentral:rRNA from 1 species
ACCGAAAGAAGCUUAGUGGGCGAACGGGUGGAGUAACACGUAGGCAACCUGCCCAAAAGAGGGGGAUAACACUUGGAAACAGGUGCUAAUACCGCAUAACCAUGAACACCGCAUGAUGUUCAUGUAAAAGACGGCUUUUGCUGUCACUUUUGGAUGGGCCUGCGGCGUAUUAACUUGUUGGUGGGGUAACGGCCUACCAAGGUGAUGAUACGUAGCCGAACUGAGAGGUUGAUCGGCCACAUUGGGACUGAGACACGGCCCAAACUCCUACGGGAGGCAGCAGUAGGGAAUCUUCCACAAUGGACGAAAGUCUGAUGGAGCAACGCCGCGUGAAUGAAGAAGGCCUUCGGGUCGUAAAAUUCUGUUGUCAGAGAAGAACGUGCGUGAGAGUAACUGUUCACGUAUUGACGGUAUCUGACCAGAAAGCCACGGCUAACUACGUGCCAGCAGCCGCGGUAAUACGUAGGUGGCGAGCGUUGUCCGGAUUUAUUGGGCGUAAAGGGAACGCAGGCGGUCUUUUAAGUCUGAUGUGAAAGCCUUCGGCUUAACCGAAGUAGUGCAUUGGAAACUGGAAGACUUGAGUGCAGAAGAGGAGAGUGGAACUCCAUGUGUAGCGGUGAAAUGCGUAGAUAUAUGGAAGAACACCAGUGGCGAAAGCGGCUCUCUGGUCUGUAACUGACGCUGAGGUUCGAAAGCGUGGUAGCAAACAGGAUUAGAUACCCUGGUAGUC